CCUACGGGAGGCAGCAGUGAGGAAUAUUGGUCAAUGGGCGCGAGCCUGAACCAGCCAAGUCGCGUGAAGGAUGACUGCCCUACGGGUUGUAAACUUCUUUUGUCAGGGACUAAAGUGAGACACGCGUGCCUUUCUGUAUGUACCUUAUGAAUAAGGAUCGGCUAACUCCGUGCCAGCAGCCGCGGUAAUACGGAGGAUUCGAGCGUUAUCCGGAUUUAUUUGGUUUAAAGGGUGCGUAGGCGGGGGGUUAAGUUAGUGGUGAAAGCUUGCGGCUCAACCGUAGAAUUGCAAUUGAUACUGGCGGUCUUGAGAGGAGUUGAGGUAGGCGGAAUGCGUGGUGUAGCGGUGAAAUGCUUAGAGAUCAUGCAGAACUCCGAUUGCGAAGGCAGCCUACCAACCUGCAACUGACGUUGAGGCACGAAAGCGUGGGGAGCAAACAGGAUUAGAUACCCUUGUAGUC
rnacentral:rRNA from 1 species